CAAUCAAACCGGGAGAUAGCUGGUUCUCCCCGAAAGCUAUUUAGGUAGCGCCUCGUGAAUUCAUCUCCGGGGGUAGAGCACUGUUUCGGCUAGGGGGCCAUCCCGGCUUACCAACCCGAUGCAAACUGCGAAUACCGGAGAAUGUUAUCACGGGAGACACACGGCGGGUGCUAACGUCCGUCGUGAAGAGGGAAACAACCCAGACCGCCAGCUAAGGUCCCAAAGUCAUGGUUAAGUGGGAAACGAUGUGGGAAGGCCCAGACAGCCAGGAUGUUGGCUUAGAAGCAGCCAUCAUUUAAAGAAAGCGUAAUAGCUCACUGGUCGAGUCGGCCUGCGCGGAAGAUGUAACGGGGCUAAACCAUGCACCGAAGCUGCGGCAGCGAACGUAUCACCCAAGACAACUUUACGGAGUUGACGAUUGACGGAGCGAAGCGACGUCAAAGCGUUCAUUAAAGUCGAGUUGGCUUAGGGAUACGUUCGUUGGGUAGGGGAGCGUUCUGUAAGCCUGUGAAGGUGUGUCGUGAGGCAUGCUGGAGGUAUCAGAAGUGCGAAUGCUGACAUAAGUAACGAUAAAGCGGGUGAAAAGCCCGCUCGCCGGAAGACCAAGGGUUCCUGUCCAACGUUAAUCGGGGCAGGGUGAGUCGACCCCUAAGGCGAGGC
rnacentral:rRNA from 1 species